GGGGUAUGAACUCACCUGCAGUGAGUUGAGCGGAUGAAAAUGCCGGGUAGGAUGCUAGGUGUCAAAUGAGAAUUUGAACACUCAUACUGAUCCUAUAAACAGGUAGUGACACAUAAUGAUGUCUAAUUAGUUAUUUAUUCAUUAAAUAAGUAAGUAAUUACACCCUAAUGCAUGAAAACACUUUUUUUUAAGUGCUAGGAGUGCCAAUGGUUGCAUCUAAGGAGCAUAUGACCUCACUAUGGAGUUUACACCUCAAAUACUCACCUUUGGUGAGUUUACGAUUGAGGGACCCUUUCCCCCAUGAGUUUACGGCCAUAAACUCAUGGAAGAGGUGUAUUUGUGUGCUUUUGCUUCAUGCCNACUAAGGAAGGUUCUAGGGUUGAUUUCGAAGGUUUAGGAAGUGGUUAGGGCAUAAAUUGCCCACUUAUUGGAGUUUACGGUCCUUGGACCCUUUUGGGGAGUUUACUACCGUAAACCCAUGAGUUUACGACAGUAAACUCAUGGUUUGUCCAUCCACUUCAAAUUUUGGGGUUCCUAGAUCAUCCAAGCAAGUUCCUAGUCAAUAAAUCAUGCUAGAUAGGGAGUUGGGUCAUCAAAACACCCUUUUUGGGGUGUUUACGGUUCUUGAAUAGUUCUUGGGAGUUUAAUACCGUAAACACAUGAGUUUAUGACAGUAAACUCAUGGCUACUCCAUCUAUUUAGUGAUUUGGGGUCCUUAGUUCAUUGAUGCAAGUUUCUAAGUGAAGGGCCAAGGCUAAAUAAGAGGUUUAGGCUCAUUUUGCAUCAUUUGAGGGAGUUUACGGCCUAAGAAUGUUCUUGGGCCGUAAACCCUCUUCCAAGCCCCCAAACAUAAUGUUCAAUGUCUAAAACACUUCAAGGGUAAGAUCCAAGUUAGCCUCUAAGCCUAAGGAAGGGAUUUGGGGCAUUUUUGGCACACUUUUAGGGGUUUACGGCCUAAGAGGGUUCUUGGGCCGUAAACUCCUUGUUCUUGGCCUCCAUGGAUGAUUUUCAAGAUAUAUUGACAUGUAAUGAGCUUUAGAACAACCUAGGGUAAGAGAACUUACGGUUUGGAAGCAUAAACUUGCAGAUUUUUGGAAAAACCAGGACUUGAAGAGAGAGAGAGUAGAGAGAGAGUGACUAGAGUGGUAAAAAGUCUAAGUUGGUGACCACUCAACCCUUAUAUAAGGCUUGAGUUGGUGGCCAGGUAGGGAUCCACCCCAUACCGACGUUAAAUGAAAUUUAAAUUUUUACCCGAUUAAAUGGUCGUAACCCGGCUUAGUUGUAACUAAAAAUUUUUCCGAAAUAAAUUUGAGGGUAAUACACGUGUUUUUAUUUAUUUCAUUACGAUACUAAAAUAAAAUAAAUUAUUAGUUGAUUUUUCUAACCCAAAUGUUAACAAUAUUAAAAUAAGGUAUUCUAUUAACGGAAAUGGGAUGCCGUAACAGAAUAAAUUUCGGGUUGUCACAUGAACAAAUCUAAUAUGAGAAAUUGAUGAAUUUAUGUAGGCGUCCUCGGUGCUGACCAGUUCUCGAUAGCUUUAAUCUUGGAUGGGUGCACGUGGAUUCCUUCCUCACUAACCACGUGUCCUAAGAAUUCGACUCUUCGGAUCCAAAAUUCGCACUUAGAGAACUUUGCGUAUAACUUCUCCGAUCGUAGGGUUUCUAGGACUCGUCGUAGAUGAUCGCUAUGUUCUGCCUCACUCCGAGAGUAGACAAGUAUGUCAUCAAUAAAGAUGAUGAUGAACUGAUCUAAGUAAGGACGACACACCCUAUUCAUCAAGUCCAUGAAUAUUGCGGGUGCGUUAGUCAGUCUGAAGGGCAUCACUACGAACUCGUAGUGUCCGUAACGAGUUCGGAAGGCUGUUUUCGGAACAUCCUCCUCAAACACUCGUAACUGGUGGUACCCGGACCUAGGAUCAAUCUUGGAAAAGUAACUUGCCCCUUGCAGUUGGUCGAAUAGGUCGUCUAUACGGGGAAGAUGGUAGCGAUUUUUGACUGUGAGUUUGUUGAGCUCCCUAUAAUCUAUGCACAUACGGAACGAUCUGUCCUUCUUCACGAACAAGACCGGAGCUCCCCAGGGUGAGAAGCUUGGUCUUAUAAAGCCCUUGUUGAGCAGCUCGUUAAGUUGAUUGGACAGUUCUUGCAUCUCCGCAGGCGCUAGACGAUAAGGCGAUUUAGCUACGGGGGUAGCCCCUGGGGUUAGGUCGAUUCUGAACUCAACCUGAAGUUUAGUAGGUAAACCUGGGAGCUCCUCUGGAAAAACGUCGGGGAAAUCGCAUACGACGGGGAAAUCUUUUAGAUCUUUCGUUUUCUGACUUGUGUCGCAACGUGUGCAAGGAAUGCGCGAUAUUCCUUACGCAAGUACUUCUGGGCUUGAAUACUCGAGAUGAUGCGAAGGCUCGUACUGGGUUUGUCUCCAUAGAUUAACAGAGUUUCGUUAUUCGAUAGAUUUAAAUGGAUUGCUUUGUCGAAGCACAGGAUAUCAUAUAAUGGGGACUCAACCAGUCCAUGCCCACAGUGACAUCGAAACUGGUAUGAGGUCGAUUGGGAAGGAAUGAUAAUCUAGCGUGAGGGUGCAACCUAUGUAGAUUUCGUUAGAGCUCUCUGUAUUUCCGUUAGCCAUUUCUACGACGAAUGUUUCUUUUAGUGGUUGUGGGGAUUGCUUAAGUAAGUGUUUAAAGUUUUGGUUUAUGAAGCUUCUUUCUGCACCACUAUCGAAUAAGACACAAGCAUAAAAGUUGUUGAGAAGGAACGUACCCGUGACUACUGUGGGGUCUGCUACUGCUUCAUUGUGGCCAAUGGAAAGUAGUUUCCCCGUUCCUCCUGUACUUCCAGCUUUUGGGCAGUUUUUCAUGAAAUGCCCCACUUCACCACAGCCAUAACAGGCCUGGCUGACUCCCGAACCAGAGACCUGAGAAAUAGGUUUGGGCUGAGAUCUGCAAAACCGGGCGGUAUGGCCCUUCCGGUCACAAUUAGUGCAGUGCAUUUCACGGCAGAGGCCGUUAUGAUGAAAAGGGAACUUUGGGCACUUGGGCAGGUUUCCAACAUAGGUUUUUGUUGGUACAGGGGUAGCAAGAGUAGUGGCAGCAUGGACAACCACUAUCUAUUGGUUUUUGGAAGAGGAUUGAGCUUUCUUAUCCUUCUUUUUGUCCCACCGCUUCCUCUUGUUGUCGGAUGUCUUGGGAUGUGCAGUGGCGGUUGUUGUUGUUGUCGUUGGAGUGGAAGGAGUCUCAUGAUCGAUCAACCUGUGGGCCAAUUCCUUGGCGCUGUCAAAGGUUGCCGGAUUUGAAGAUAUAACGUUUCCUCGAUACGGGGGCACUAAACCCCAAAUGUACCAUUCAAUUUUCUUGCUUUCAAAGGGGAUCAUGUUAGGGCACAUAGCUACCAGGUCGCAGAACCUGGCCGUAUAAGCCACUAUGUCGGUUCCCUUCAUCUUGAGGUUCCAGAGUUCCUCCUCAAGCUUCUGAACCUCACCUCUAGGGCAGUACUCCCUUCUCAGUAGGUCCUUUAGUGUGUCCCAGCCCAUGGCCAUUCCACCACGUCAGGGCCCUUUCAGUGAAAGUGGCAACAACGAACUUUAUUUUGCUUUCUUCGGGGCAUGAGCACAUUUUGAAAACGGCUUCGGUCCUUUCGAUCCAUUGGGAUAGAGCAAGGAUUCCUCCGGUCCCAUUAAAAAAUGUUAGUUUACAGUUCAUGAAAUCCUUAUAAGUACACCCCUGUGUACGUGAGGGAAUUUCACCAUGUGUGGAGUUGGUGCCCAUUCCGGCUCCACUAGCAUCGCCAGAAUUCAUUUGGGCCAUGGUUGCCGUCACAGCUGCGGUCACAGUUGUUUGAAACAGCACUGGAUCGAACUACGGAGGAGGAGGUGGGGUUUGAGUCGCAGGUCUGCCUCUGUUCAGGCGCUUGCGAGGAGGCAUCUUUUACUGAAAGUUCAUAGAGAUGAUGACAAUAGUAAGGGUCUAUUGCAAGUAUGAUAAGAGCGUUUCAUGGACUAAAUCAACAUAGCCCAAAAAUCAGAGAGAGUCAUAGCAACAGAGUAGGUAACUGCCAAUAUUACUGGUAUUAAUGAUGUAAUAUGAGUUCGUGAAAAGUGACCUAACAGUAGUUAUUACAUCAAACCAUAAGGAAAAUGUUGGCAGUCUAAGAGUCUAGGUAAAGUACUUUCAAAGUUAGGAAUGUUUACAGACAAGUGCUCUACCGAGCAUAGAAAAGAAAAGACUAUUCCUUAAACAAAAGAGAGGGAUAAGCUGACAUCUUCUACUAGCGACGGGUAUCCCUUGGGCGAACCCUAAGAUCAUCUAGUUGGCGCACAACUUCUUGAAGAUGUCUUUCAUGUGCUCUUUGACGCGCCCGGAGUUCCCUGACUUCGGCUCGGGAUGCGGCUAGCUGUUGCUGCAGAGCCUCAUUGGUCCUCCUCGUCCUAUCCAUAGCUUCUUCCAGUUGGCGGAUACGAACAGUGUUAAGGUUAGAGUUGACAUCAACUUCCACAACUCGGUCAAUAGCUACUUGACCUUGUUCGACGUUCCUGGCAAUCCUUUGGACCAUGAUGGGCAAGACUCGGUCCGCUGAACAUCCCUCGCUUAUGUUGUAGAAGUUUCGGUCUCCAUUGAAAGGUAAAGGCUGACCCUGUUCAUCGCUCCAUCGGUUCAAGGUUAUUGCCCACAUGGGAGUGGGACCCUGAAAUGUCGGAUGGGGGUUAGGGUUUGGAGCUACUGGGGGCAGGUUGUUGACUUCUGGCUCAGAGUCGGAGUUAUCCGAAAAGCCUUCUGCAUGGUGAUCAUCCAAAGGGAUCGGGUGAUCAUCUUCCGACUCUUCAUCGAGCCAUCCUCCAUUGCCCUGAUUUUGAUAGUAUGGAUCGCCGGGAUGGUGGAAGCCAGCCAUGCUAUCUACGCGAGAAUGGGGUAAGAAAGGUUAAUAGACGUACUAAUCUAGGAUACUUAUAAGAUGAUCGUUACUAGUUGACCCAAUACUUGCAUAGUGCAUACCAAUUACAUGUAACCGAAGCAGGAUAGACCUUCGAAUAAGUGACCCUAACUCUAAGUCCACAAUCAAACAAGAACAGGAAAUGAAGCAAAGGUCACAGAUUCUAAGCCUAUAGCGCCCUAAUCACAUGUAACUGUGGUGUAUCCACUUAGCAAUUAUCGUCCCACUAGUAAUGACCCUUUUUAGUUAUCACAUAUGUAGCUAACGGAAUGCAGAAUACUCCUAUAGUAUUCUUGUUCUGACGUUCUUGUGGUAGUGUUGGUGGUAAGUUUUUAGACUUGUUGCAACAUCACAAUCACUAUUAGGCACAUGCUAGUCACUCCUAAGGAAAUGUAGUUGAUCAGGCUACAUCCACCCAGAUGUAACUAUAUGUCUCUAAGCCCAAUUGUACUGUUCAACAAUCUUAAUACUUUUGUUAUGUUCUAGUAUGAUACUGAUCCUUUGUAAUAAUGGAUGUGCAUAUAUAUACUUACUUAAAUAUUUUAGUAUUUAAAAGUAUAUAUUCUUGGUCAGAGUGUUUUAGUCCCGAAGUGUUUAUAGUUUGUAUAUGUUUUAUGGGUUGAUAUACUUGAUUCACUAUAAACAAUGCUUUGAUACCAAUCUGUCACACCCCAAAAGCAAGAACGGCGGAAUAUGUUCUGGGGUGGAUGAUGUCAUGUACAGUAUCAUAACAAUGCAUAAUAGUAAAAACAAGCAACAACAUCCAUUGCAUAAAUAUAGUAAUUGUAAUACAAGUGUGUUCUGUACAGUUUGUUAGACACCAAAAGUAUAAAAAAAAAAAAAAUAAAGAUGAGCCUUGUAUGCGCUCCGUCUUCUCAAAAACUGCAUCUGUACCUGUCUAUUGUCAGCCUGAGAAUACAAGUUAUUUUGAAAACGAGUAUCAACAUAAAGCUGGUGAGUUCAUAAGAAUUUAGUGUCAUUGCUUGUAUAAAUAUGUUUACAAUCGUAUAACAUGAAAGUUAUUAUUAAGUUUGAAAUUAGUGUGAAUCUCUAGAAAAUCCCAUAUUUUCUAAUAAAAGUAGCCUUUUAGCCAAGACUUGGUUAUUUGUAAGUUUGGUCCAUCUGAGUGUGUAAAAGUUUUCCCGAUUGGGUUCAUAAUUAUAAACAACUAAUUUGAACUCCAUUUAACCAAAGUAAAUGGGAAAAUAAUGUAUUAUUUUUAAUAGUAUGACUGCCGACUGGAUGGUAACUAACAGCAGACUCUAAUUAGCGAUAUGUAUUUAAUACACCAUCGGGGAGUCUACUUUACCUUUAAUUUGUAAUUUGUUAGAUUAGGGUUCCGAAUGUAAAAUACGUGUGUAACCAUGCAGAUAGGCGAUUGAAUGUAAUCAUGACCCUCCAAGUCAUAUGUAGUGUGGUAGCAUGUUAUCAUCCCUGGGCCUAGUCGGCUCGGACUGUAGCUAGCAGUCGGGAUGUCUAUGUAUCCGCCCGAUAUAGAUCUAUACACGUAGACCCCGCUCUCCCUCCAGAAGACUAAGGUUACACGAUGAAGGCGCAGUCAAGUGUCGUAUAUAAAGAUAGUGCCUCACAUUCUGUUUUAGUAUGUUCUCUGGUAUUAGUGCAUAGUGUGCUUCUCGGUAUAAUGUAUUUAGUAUUCUUCUGAUAUAGCAUAUAGUAUUAUUCUUGUAUAGUAUAUAAUAUGUAGCGACUCGUGAUAUCACUAACCGUGGUAAGUAUCAUAGUAAUGGUAGUGAGGAGUGGAAGGCCUUAACUAUACCUUUUAUAGUUAACUGGCAUGUUGUAGUCGUUCUUGGAUAUUCUUAAAUAGUGAAAUAAACAGAGGUAUUCAUAUCCAACACAAAUACAUACAAUAUAUAACUAAGAAUUCAACGACAGUCGGACAGAUAACAAUAUACCCCAAGACCCCAAUCAAACAAGAACAGGUAAUAAGGCUAGCUAUCAGUCCUAAAUCCUUCAAGUCUUACUUAUAUAAUUAUAUUGGUGUGGAUAUAUUUUUAGAAACAUAAGAAGUUUAAAAGAGUUUGAAAAUAAUUUUUGUAGCAAUCUACAUAAAAAUGAGUUUGAUAAUUAAUGAAAACAGUUCUUUGAAGGCAAAACAAUUAAAAGUAUAGAAAUCCCCUUUUGAUUGUAAGUUACAAAUCACAUGUGAUUGAUACUAUAAAUUGAUGGAUUCAACUUGUAUUUAUUCAUUAAAUAAGUAAGUAAUUACACCCUAAUGCAUGAAAACACUUUGUUUUAAGUGCUAGGAGUGCCCAAGGGUUGCAUCUAAGGAGCUUAUGACCUCACUAUGGAGUUUACUCCUCAAAUACUCACCUUAGGUGAGUUUACGGUUGAGGGACCCUUUCCCCCCAUGAGUUUACGGCCGUAAACUCAUGGAAGAGGUGUAUUUGUGUGCUUUUUAGCUUCAUGCCUCACUAAGGAAGGUUCUAGGAUUGAUUUCAAAGGUUUAGGAAGUGGUUAGGGCAUAAAUUGCCCACUUAUUGGAGUUUACGGUCCUUAGAGCCUUUUUAGGGAGUUUACUACCGUAAACCCAUGAGUUUACGGCAGUAAACUCAUGGUUUGUCCAUCCACUUCGAAUUUUGGGGUUCCUAGAUCAUCCAAGCAAGUUCCUAGUCCAUAAAUCAUGCUAGAUAGGGAGUUGGGUCAUCAAAACACCCUUUUUGGGGUGUUUACGGUUCUUGAAUAGUUCUUGGGAGUUUAAUACCGUAAACACAUGAGUUUACGUACUCCAUCCAUUUAGUGAUUUGGGGUCCUUAGUUCAUUUAUGCAAGUUUCUAAGUGAAGGGCCAAUGCUAAAUAAGAGGUUUAGGCUCAUUUUGCAUCAUUUGAGGAAGUUUACGACCUAAGAAUGUUCUUGGGUCGUAAACCCUCUUCCAAGCCCCCAAACAUAAUGUUCAAUGUCUAAAACACUUCAAGCGUAAGAUCCAAGUUAGCCUCUAAGCCUAAGGAAGGGAUUUGGGGCAUUUUUGGCACACUUUUAGGGGUUUACGGCCUAAGAGGGUUCUUGGGCCGUAAACUCCUUGUUCUUGGCCUCCAUGGAUGAUUUUCAAGCUAUAUUGACAUGUAAUGAGCUUUAGAACAACCUAGGGUAAGAGAACUUACGGUUUGGAAGCAGAAACUUGCAAAUUUUUGGAAAAACCAGGACUUGAAGAGAGAGAGAGAGAGAGAGUAGAGAGAGAUAGUGACUAGAGUGGUAAAAAGUCUAAGUUGGUGACCACUCAACCCUUAUAUAAGGCUUGAGUUGGUGGCCAGGUGGGGAUCCACCCCAUACCGACGUUAAAUGAAAUUUAAAUUUUUACCCGAUUAAAUGGUCGUAACCCGGCUUAGUUGUAACUAAAAAUUUUUCCGAAAUAAAUUUGAGGGUAAUACACGUGUUUUUAUUUAUUUCAUUACGAUACUAAAAUAAAAUAAAUUAUUAGUUGAUUUUUCUAACCCAAAUGUUAACAAUAUUAAAAUAAGGUAUUCUAUUAACGGAAAUGGGAUGCCGUAACAGAAUAAAUUUCGGGUUGUCACAUGAACAAAUCUAAUAUGAGAUAUAAACAUGGAAAACUACUAAAUCCAUGCUUGAGGACAAGGGCAGAACCAACCAGUAGCAGCCAGGGGUAGCCCGUGAUACCCCUCAUGUUUGUCCGAGAAGUAUAAAAUUGUUUUGAUGGUAUAGAGGUGCUGAGACAGAUGAAAUGCUACUCACAGAAGUUCUCGGAUAUCCAAACAUUGAUGAAGUUGAAUAAGAAAUACGGGUUCAUGGAAACCUAAAUACUGAUUACACGAUGGGUUACUUGAAGCAUUACGUCCAGAUGUAUUCCUCAAAAACAAUUUGAGAUUACUAGUAAUCGAAACAAUUUUGUAGUUGGCUAUUGCUCCUGCCUUCUUGAAAACCGUUGCUUCUAUAAUUGUUGAUCUAGUAUUCAAAAUUGAGUUUCCAGUAAUCAAAAAUCAAACCUCAUGAUGACACAAUGCACCACUUUGAUACCAAAUCCAUACAAAAUAGAAGAAUUUGAAAUAUUUUAUGGCAAAAAUUGGUUGUAUGAUUGAAUGUUCAAGGAGUUGAAUAAUUACCUAUUACUCUCCCAAGUGAUUUCAAGGUAUAUUUAGGUGUUCUUCAACUUAUUAAUGAAAGCUACCAUUUUGGAGGUAUCUUUGAUAGUCUAACCAGUUGUCUAUUCUUGAAUUUGAUUUCUAAUUUGAUUAUAGUUAUGUUCUAAUUUCCCUACAUUUAUGUGGGUUUUAGUUGCUUAUUAUAGAAUUCAAAGUAAUGAUCGGGUUCUACUUGUUUAAUGUUAUCACUGCCAUCUUCCAUUAACUUGAUUUGAUUUUCGAGUCAAUUUUUUUGUUACUUUUGCUUCAAUUCAAGUUAUCUCAUGGGUUUUGGGAUUCAAAUUUCGCCCAAAAUAAGCCAUAUUAUAUAAUAAUGUUAAACUUAUAUAAGCCUUUGGCAUGUAAACUAUAAAUUGUAAAUCUUGUUACAACCUUACAAGUUUAGCUGCAAACAACUGUAAGGUGAUAUUUAAAGUGGAUAAUAUAAAGUGACAAAACCACAUGCAACUCCUUUUUUAAACUCCGUAUUAUUUAAGGCAUAGUGUUGAAGUUAUUGCUUGCAGAUUCAUGCUUAAAAUGGAGAGCAUAAAGUGAUAAAACCGUCUCUUAAACUACCAAAUUUUGAUUAAAAUCCAUAGCCUAGACAAUUUGUGGUUGGUCUAAGAUGAAAAUUGACCAAAUUGUCUCAUUCCUGCUAAAACUUUUAUAGGUGUAUCAGAUACAUUGUAUGCAUAUACUGUUGAAAAUUGUGUGCUAUCCCUAAUGAAAAUUUUUAGUUUCGCCCCUGCCCGAGGAGCUUGCUUAAGACCAUACAUAGACUUCUACAACAAGAAAACAUGAUGAGGUCUAGAGGGAUUCCGAAAACCUUUAGGCAACUGCAUAUAGAAGAUUUCCUGUAGCUAACCAUGAAGAAAAAUCAUUCUUCACAUCUAAUUUGCGUAUGGGCCACCAGUGCGUGAUAGUAAUCCUUAAAAUCGUGCGUAUAUUGGCCAGUUUAACUACCAAACUUAAAGUCUCGUCACAAUCAAUGCUAGGUAUCUGACUUCGUCCAUCAGCAAUAAAAAGAGCUUUAUAACUAAAGAAAAAGCCAUAUUCAUUUAAUUUCUUCUUAAACAACCAAAUACAAUUAAUAAUGUUAACAAUGGGAGGUCUUAGUACAAGAACCCAAGUUUUGUAUGUGAUAAGAGCAGUAUAUCCUUUUCGCAUUGCUUUAAGCCAGUUAGGAUCAUUAAAAGCCUGCAAAUAAUUUUUAGGGACAUGAGAGGUAGAGUCAAUGUAAAGAUUGAGUUUUCUAAUGGGCUUAAUGAUAUCCAUUUUGGAUCGAGUAAUCAUGGGAUGAUGAGACAGGUUGGAUUUGGCAUCGAAAGACAAGUCAGGAGAGACCUCAAAGGAAGACGAGGUGGGUUUGAUUUAGGACUAGUAGACACAGAUGGGCCUAUUGGGCUUAGAGGUGGACGACUCAAUGUGACUGAGCUAAUGUGAUGAGGUGUUAGGAGAGUUUGUGAAUGGACAAGUAGGAUCAACGAAAUGAGAUGGAGUCUUGAGAGGAGACCCACCAUCAAUAGGUAAGUCGAAAGUAUUAUUAUAUGAGAGAGGAGUGGUGAGAUCAACAUGAUCAAGAAAUAUGUAAGAGGGGGUAACAUUUAGAGUCAUAGAACCAAAAGGAAAGAUUGUUUCAUUAAACAUCAUAUGUCGGGAAAUAAUAAUUUCAUUUGUGUCAAGACUUAGACACUUGUAUCCUUUAUGAUUAGAGUGAUAACCAAGAAACAUACAUGGAUUAGAGCGAGGUGGCAAUUUGUGAGGAGUCACAAUGUUAGGGAAACAAAGUCAUCCACGAACACAUAAAUGAUCAUAGGUUGGUUGAGUUUUUAAUAAUCUAUGAUAAGGUGUGUCAUGAUUUAAAGUGGUGGAUGGAAGUAUAUUUAUAAGAUGAGCAGACAUAUGGAAAGGUUUAACCUAAUAGGUGGGAGGAAGACUAGCAUGGAAAAUAAGAGCACGAAUACCAUUGUUUAGAGUGUGAAUCAUACGUUCGGAUUUUCCGUUUUGCUGAGAGUUAUAAGGAUAAGAAAAAAUGCAUGAUAAUGCAAUUUUGAUCAAACAAUUGGUGAUAUUUACUAUUAUUGUAUUCACCCCCAUUAUCACACUAAAAAGAUUU
rnacentral:lncRNA from 1 species